rnacentral:misc_RNA from 1 species
UACGUAGGUGGCAAGCGUUGUCCGGAAUUAUUGGGCGUAAAGCGCGCGCAGGCGGUUCCUUGAGUCUGAUGUGAAAGCCCACGGCUCAACCGUGGAGGGUCAUUGGAAACUGGGGAACUUGAGUGCAGAAGAGGAGAGUGGAAUUCCACGUGUAGCGGUGAAAUGCGUAGAGAUGUGGAGGAACACCAGUGGCGAAGGCGAUUCUCUGGUCUGUAACUGACGCUGAGGCGCGAAAGCCAGGGGAGCGAACCGG